rnacentral:misc_RNA from 1 species
GUCUUUAUUAGGCCACAUAAUAACUCAGUCAUACACAACAAGCGUAAAUGUCUCUAGGCCCAAAGCCCGAUCACUAGGUGACCGACCUUUAAGCCCGAGUCAAUGUGACCCACCCUUUCGGGGGGCCAGACGAUUUGUUAAUGAUCCUUCCGCAGGUUCACCUACGGAAA